UUUUUUUUUUUUUUUUUUGCAAAUAAGGAAAGGCAGACACUGAAUGUUUAUUAUUCAGUAUGAACAUAGAGGCAAAACUAGGAGAAAAAACAGAUAUGAGGUUUCCAGAACUAUGGAAUUUUAGGCAUAUUAUAUUAUCAGUUAUCAUUUAUUGAGUACUUACUAUGGACCAGCCACUGCAUUAAGCAUUUUACAUAGUCUAUUACAUAGUUUAAUUUUAAAUUUUUAUUUAUUUACUUAUUAGAGUCCCACUCUCACCCAGGCUGGAGUGCAGUGGCAUGAAAUAAUAGCUCACUGCAACCUCAAACUCCUGGGCUCAGGUAAUCCCCCUGCCUCAGUCUCCCAAGCAGCUGGGAAUAUAGGUGUGUGCCACCACACCUGGCUAAAGUUUAUUACAUAGUUUAUUAGUCUUGACAACAGCCCUAUGACAUAGGUACAAUUAUUAUCCCCAUUUUACAGAUGAAGAAACUGAGGCUUACAGAGGUUAGGUAACUUUAACCAAGCCUAAACAGCUAGUAAGUGGUGGAAGUGAUUCAAAUCUAAGACUGUGUUACUAAAAGAGCUGUGUUCUCAAUCACUCUGCCACACGGUACAAGAGAGGUGUUAGCUAGAAUGCCUUCAGGGGCAUAAUAAUAAUUAUAGUUAAUGCUGUUGUGGAAGGCUUAUUAUAUGGUAGACCCUAUUCUAAACACUCACCUAUGUCAACUUUAGGCUCUGCAUCUCACACUCUAUAAAGAAGGUGCUAUUAUUGGGCGCAUUUUACAGUAAGGAAAGUGAGGCACAGAGAGGUCUUAAGUUCACGGAACUAAUGAAUGGUGGAGCAGGGCUACAAAUUCAGGCACUCUGACUCCAAAGAUCAUCCUCUUAGCUGCUAAGCUAUGUUAAGGUAAAAUGUUCGUUUCUGUGUGAGGAAGCCCAGUCCACUUCGAGAGUCAGCUUUCUUUGUUAGAAAGUUGUGCCUGCAGCUCUAAUAGACUUCUCAGAAGCAAACAGAAGGGUUCAAGAGUCCAGCUGACAGCAGAGGCUCUUGCUCAAUCCUUUCCCAGAAUGCUUGUCUCCAUUACCCUUUAACCUGCAUCUUUGAACAAAUUGAUAUAUGGGGAGUUCAGCAAUGGCAGAUCUCAGCUGUGCCUUUAAUGUUUGAUAUGUCUGCUAGCACACCAUGUUUUUCAUUGGAUCUAAAGGAGAUCUAAUGAGAGAUCAUUUCCUAGUAACACAUUGUCUGCUUUCAACAUCACUAGGAAAGCACUUUGCUGCAAACAAUCCCUAUGUUGGUUUAAUUGCCUUUGAAAAGGGGCACAAGAGGGAGCAUCAACUCUUCAGAGUUUGGGUCUGAUUUCCUGAGGUGUUCCAUUUCAGAAGAGGCCCCUGACAACAGGCAGAGAAUAAAAACAAGUGUGGUCUAGGGCAGACAGUGUUUUUCAAACAGUUGGCCAAAUCUCUCCUGGCAGCCGGGAAGCAGCUGAAUCAUCAAACACUAGGCCUCUAACGAGAUGGAGGCUGGGCUGUAUUGAAGUGCAUUCCAGACUGACUGUGAAACCCAGAGCUGCUGCUGCUUUCCCAAUGCUGGCUCCCUUCCAAGGGGCUGGCCCAGCUGAGCUGCUUGUCAAAGCUUCAUUUUGUCUCUUCUCUCUCUUUUUUUCCUCCUCUUUGUGAUUUCCCAUGUAGCAUUUGCCUGCCCUUGGAUAGAAUAUUUGGAUGAAUUUUGGGGUCACCUCAGGUACAGCCUCUGCUCUGCAAGCUAAAGUUCAUGAACUGUGUUUACCUGUUGGAAAGUCAGAAUGGCAGAGGGGAAAGGCACUAAGCUAGAGCACUCGGGGAAUGGACAAGUGGACAGACAUUCUUUUCUGAGAGGCAGGAAUGACCUAGACAUUCCGAAAUUGAAAGCCAGAUGUUGGGAUAAAACUCUAGACUCAAUUUGAAUCGUAGGAGUGUUGACAACCUUGAUGAAAUCCUAUGACUAAAACUUUCUAGAGUAGAGGGGAAUUAAUGGGGCCUAAGUAGGGUAACCCACCUUGAAAAUAACCAGAUCCCUCUAUUUAUAUCAGAAACAAAUGUUUGGACUCUUUAAGUGCCAUGGUCUGAAUGUUUGUGUCUCCCCCAAAAUUCAUAUAUUGAAACCUAAUCCCCAACGUGGUGGUAAUUGAAGGCAGAGCCUUUAGGUGGUAAUUAGGUCAUGAGGGCAGAGCCCUCAUGAAUGGGAUUAGUGCCCUUAUAAAAGAGGGCAGAGGGAGCUUGUUUGGCCCUUCAGCCAUGUGAAGACGCAGCAAGAAAGUGCCAUCCAUGAAGCAGAGAGUGAGACCCCAUCAGACACUGAGUCUGCUGAUGCCUUGAUCUGGGACUUCCCAGCCUUCAGAACGAUCUGGCACAUUUCAGAAGUUGCUGACGUGUUGAUGCCUGCUAAAACACAACGUGGGAAGAAGAAUGAAUGUGGGCAAGCUCGGCUAGCCACUCAGAGGGAAAUGAUCUCAUUUCUCCUGCUGGGCAACCCCCAGUUGCUGCUACUCAGUCCUUCUUGAAGUCCAUUUUCGUAAACACUUUGCUGAUCAAGAAGUGUCUGAAGAUGGGAAGACGGAGAAAGCUUGUAUUGUUUACUGAGUAUCAGAGGACACUUCCUUCAAGUGACCUAAGGCAUGUGUGAGUGCUAUCCUACGAGCCACAUUCUAAAGGAGUGAAGUCAUCACGAACACUGCCUUAGAAGGGAUCACCUCUACCUCCCAUGCACAUUAACCUGGGAAAGAGACAGAAAAAAUCAGAAAAAAAAGAUGUUAGGAGAAGCUGAACAGACUGAAAUUCUCCAGAAUGAGAGUGAAAGGAGCUGAAAUGCCUUUGAAAUAUUAUUUCUCAGCAAACAAAAAUCACAGAAUAGAUGCUGCAGACUUGAAAAUGGAUAAACACUGUUUGUGCCUACAUCUUUAUCUCUUUGCAAUCACCUCAAGAUUGAAUUGUACUGUACACUAUGGAUGUCUAGUUGUGCUUCAGUUAUAGUACAUUUCCUUUGAUGCCAACUUCCCUAAUGUCAGGAUUUUUCCCAGAUUAAGAGUGAGAACUGGGAUUGAGCCAAACAACAACACAGAAUCCAUAAUCUUCAAUACAGUUCAAGGUU
rnacentral:lncRNA from 1 species